rnacentral:rRNA from 1 species
AGUGAACGCUGGCGGUAGGCCUAACACAUGCCAGUCGAACGGCAGCACAGUAAGAGCUUGCUCUUACGGGUGGCGAGUGGCGGACGGGUGAGGAAUACAUCGGAAUCUACUUUUUCGUGGGGGAUAACGUAGGGAAGCUUACGCUAAUACCGCAUACGACCUACGGGUGAAAGCAGGGGAUCUUCGGACCUUGCGCGAUUGAAUGAGCCGAUGUCGGAUUAGCUAGUUGGCGGGGUAAAGGCCCACCAAGGCGACGAUCCGUAGCUGGUCUGAGAGGAUGAUCGGCCACACUGGAACUGAGACACGGUCCAGACUCCUACGGGAGGCAGCAGUGGGGAAUAUUGGACAAUGGGCGCAAGCCUGAUCCAGCCAUACCGCGUGAGUGAAGAAGGCCUUCGGGUUGUAAAGCCCUUUUGUUGGGAAAGAAAAGCAGCAGGUUAAUACCCCGCUGUUCUGACGGUACCCAAAGAAUAAGCACCGGCUAACUUCGUG